GUGAGGAAUAUUGGACAAUGGAUGGAAAUCUGAUCCAGCCAUGCCGCGUGCAGGAAGACGGCCCUAUGGGUUGUAAACUGCUUUUAUACGGGUGCAAUAAGGUCUAUGCAUAGAUUGAUGAGAGUACCGUAUGAAUAAGCAUCGGCUAACUCCGUGCCAGCAGCCGCGGUAAUACGGAGGAUGCGAGCGUUAUCCGGAUUUAUUGGGUUUAAAGGGUGCGUAGGCGGCUUUGUAAGUCAGCGGUGAAAUUUUGCAGCUUAACUGUAAAAGCGACGUUGAUACUGUGAAGCUAGGAUUUGGUUGCUGUGGGCGGAAUGUGUGGUGUAGCGGUGAAAUGCAUAGAGAUCACACAGAAUAUCGAUUGCGAAGGCAGCUCACAAAGCCAAUAUUGACGCUGAGGCACGAAAGUGUGGGGAUCAAACAGGAUUAGAAACCCUGGUAGUCC
rnacentral:rRNA from 1 species